AUGGUGUGUUCAGAGCCGGCUUCUUUAAGACCACAGAUUCUGGUUUAUACCACACCACACAGCAACUUGGAGGAACGUGCACAUGCGGGCAUGAAGUCAUCAUGUGUCUGUAUGCGCACACACUCCACACAC